CGUGAGGUAACGGCUCACCAAGGCUAAGACGGGUAGCUGGUCUGAGAGGACGACCAGCCACACUGGAACUGAGACACGGUCCAGACACCUACGGGUGGCAGCAGUCGAGAAUUUUUCACAAUGGGCGCAAGCCUGAUGGAGCGACGCCGCGUGGGGGAUAAAUGGCUUCGGCCCGUAAACCCCUGUCAUUUGCGAUCAAACCUUAUUAUUUAAAAGAUGAUAAGUUGAUAGUAGCGAAAGAGGAAGGGUCGGCUAACUCUGUGCCAGCAGCCGCGGUAAUACAGAGGUCCCAAGCGUUGUUCGGAUUCACUGGGCGUAAAGGGUGCGUAGGUGGUGGGGUAAGUCGGAUGUGAAAGCUCGGAGCUCAACUCCGAAAUGGCAUUGGAAACUACCCUGCUAGAGGAUUGGAGGGGGGACUGGAAUACUUGGUGUAGCAGUGAAAUGCGUAUAUCAAGUGGAACACCAGUGGCGAAGGCGAGUCCCUGGACAAUACCUGACACUGAGGCACGAAAGCUAGGGGAGCAAACAGGAUUAGAUACCCUGGUAGUCCUAGCCGUAAACGGUGCACGUUUGCUGUAAAAGGAAUCGACCCCUUUUGUGGCGUAGCUAACGCGUUAAACGUGCCGCCUGGGAAGUACGGUCGCAAGAUUAAAACUCAAAGAAAUUGACGGGGGCCUGCACAAGCGGUGGAGUAUGUGGCUCAAUUCGAUCAACGCGAAGAACCUUACCUGGCCUUGACAUGCAUAUAGUAGAAGGGUGAAAGCCUGACGAGGUAGCAAUACCAGUAUGCACAGGUGCUGCAUGGCUGUCGUCAGCUCGUGUCGUGAGAUGUUGGGUUAAGUCCCGCAACGAGCGCAACCCCUGUGUCCUGUUGCCACCCGGCCGAGAGGCUGGAGCACUCUGGACAGACUGCCUCGCUUAAACGAGGAGGAAGGUGGGGAUGACGUCAAGUCAGUAUGGCCCUUACGGCCAGGGCUGCACACGUACUACAAUGCCCGGCACAAAGGGAAGCAAGACCGCAAGGUGGAGCAAAUCCCCAAAAACCGGGCCCAGUUCAGAUUGUCGUCUGCAACUCGACGACAUGAAGUUAGAAUCGCUAGUAAUGGCGCAUCAGCUACGGCGCCGUGAAUACGUUCCCAGGCCUUGUACACACCGCCCGUCACAUCAUGAAAGCCGUUUGUACCCGAAGUCACUGUGCCAACCGCAAGGGGGCAGGUGCCGAAGGUAUGGAUGGUGAUUGGGAUGAUUCGAAACAAGGUA
rnacentral:rRNA from 1 species